rnacentral:lncRNA from 1 species
UGGCCAGGCACCAAUCAUCUGCCUCCUUCUGUGCCUGCCUGGCUGCCCCUACCCUGGGGCUCCCUCCUAGCCCCCACCUCACCUACUGGCUCACUGAGACAGAGCCAAACAUGAAAGGGAAGGUGACGGCCUGGCCAUAGGGCCCAGGAAAAUGCAGGUAUCAUUAACAGCCUGGAGCACUGUGGCCUGUCCACUCUCAACCCUCUGCUGCCCACCCCUUCCUGGAAUAGACCCCAGGCCACAUACAGAGGGGGCAAGCCCAAGCCAGGAUUGAAGGAGAUCCCAUCUUGGGUCUAAAGGAAUGGGGGUGAAGACUGCAUCUUGUCGUUCCAGUUCCACCCCAUUCUGGCAUGGGAAGCAUGUGUGGGCUUCUACUCUAUGGGAGAUUCAUAGC